AUUGAACGCUGGCGGCAGGCCUAACACAUGCAAGUCGAACGGAGUUGCGAACGGGUGAGUAACGCGUAGGAACCUGCCUAAUAGCGGGGGAUAACGUCCGGAAACGGGCGCUAAUACCGCAUACUAUCAGAUGAGCCUAGGUCGGAUUAGCUGGUGGGUGGGGUAAAGGCCUACCAGGGCGACGAUCCGUAAUUGGUCUGAGAGGAUGAUCAGUCACACUGGAACUGAGACACGGUCCAGACUCCUACGGGAGGCAGCAGUGGGGAAUAUUGGACAAUGGGCGAAAGCCUGAUCCAGCCAUGCCGCGUGUGUGAAGAAGGUCUUCGGAUUGUAAAGCACUUUAAGUUGGGAGGCGUUACCAACAGAAUAAGCACCGGCUAACUUCGUGCCAGCAGCCGCGGUAAUAC
rnacentral:rRNA from 1 species